AGAUGAAAACCUUGUCUGUGUCUCUUAGAUAAUAUUUUUACUGCACAGUCUAAGUUAUAUCUGUUUAAUAGCCUAUACAGUCUCAAUAGAGGAUAUAUCAUGUGAGACACACACACAUCAAAUAUCCUAAAGGGCCUUUUCUAUUUCUAGCUGCUAAACUCUCUUCCCUUGUUUUUUUAUCACUAGGCAUCUUUCUGUGAAAACAGGAUUUUUUCUGUAGCUGACUCUCUUCUCCUGCUGCUGGUUCUUCACCUGCAGUAGUCUGGAAAGGUUGAGAGCCACUGUCCUAGACAACACUGCCACUAAAGCCAAGUGGCACACUCCACAAAAUGCUUCUCCAGACACGCCACCAAUCCUUCCCGCCUAAAUUAACCGACCUGAAGCCAGGAAGACCGCACUUCACCCAGGGGCGAACCCAGCGGGACACCCCGUGCGCUGCACGGAGAGCUGAAGAUGAGACACAGACCAACCCAGGGGAGGGACGUGGGCCGCUACGCAGCGCCGCAGAGAGAGGGCACCGGGCAAGGGCCCAGGGGACCAAGCUGCUGACCUAUGUGACAGAGUGAAAUCCACAGGAGGUGAAAGCUCCUGGCCAGGAGUGGGAGAUCCUGUCCCGUCUCCCCAUGAAGCCUGGAGUUCACAGCCCCGAAUGGCACCCUUCGAGUUUGUCAGUCUCUGCCAGCGUGCUCAGUGCUGUUAUGAACAAAGGGGGACACAGGCCCUGUUCCGUGGGUGAUGCCCCACAUAACAGGCUCAACUAAAGAGAUGAGCCCCAGAGGUGUCUGUGACAAAUUAACCAUUAGACCUAUGCAAGCAGCUGGGCUCCUCUGGCUAGUCUAUCUAGCUAUAGAGCAUGUCAGGCUCCCCCAUGCUCUGCUCAGACUUGUGGCAUUAUGGGGUCACUCCUGCUUUACUUCCUCCAUGUGCUGAGACUUCCCCACACCCAUGGGCAGCAGUAUUGCCACCAUGUACACCAUACACACUCUUUAGACACGGAUGGCCUGAUGUUCCUUUGCUUUCUGUAGAGAACAUAAAGAUGCACACAAGGGUGUGCAUCUGGAAUUGGGGCAAAUUCCCAACAUAGACAAGGCCAAAGAUAAGGAGGAAAGUCAGCACUGUGCUGGGGAAGGGAGAGGAAUCCCUAGUUCCUGAUCUUGUUGCAGCUGCUUCUAUACACAGGGACCAAAGAAGAGCUGGGUUAGACUUGCUAUAUCUGCUUCCCAAUGAGAGUGAAGAUACUAUAGUACUUUCAGAGUCCAUCAUUACCGAGGCUGCUGGCAACCCAUUACCACUGCAGGGCUGAUGAGAACUCUUGCCACCACUCUCGGAGUAAAAGGGGUGGAUCUUUUGCUCUGUAUGCCUUUCCUUUUACAGUGAAACUCCACUUUAAAGUGCUUUUGUGUGUGGGGAGCGGGGGGAACCCAAACCUUUUUUGAGGGUUACACUGUGUAGAAACUUCAUCCCCGUGCUGAUGUCAGUCUGAAUAAAUACCUCCCUCAUUA